rnacentral:snRNA from 1 species
GUGUCUGUUCUUAUCAGUUUAAUAUCUGAUACGCCCUCUAUAUGAGGGCUACAUAUUAAAUGGAUUUUUAGAACAGGGAGCAAGAACAGGAGCUUGCUCCUUCUGCUCCACACAUCGACCUGGUAUUGCAGUACCUCCAGGAGCAGUGC